GAAAAAAAUUUUUCUACGCGUAGUCGCGUAAAAUAAUUCUAUGACAAGCAGGAAAUACGUAAUGCGCGAUAAUAUAGAACUACUGUAAAUACAAACUGUAUAAAAUUGGACAAUAAGACGAUGACGUAGAGACAAGAAAAAAAAGAAAAUGAG